rnacentral:rRNA from 1 species
UACGGAGGGUGCGAGCGUUGUCCGGAAUUAUUGGGCGUAAAGAGCUCGUAGGCGGUGUGUCGCGUCGGCCGUGAAAACCUGGGGCUUAACUCUGGGCGUGCGGUCGAUACGGGCAUCACUAGAGUUCGGCAGGGGAGACUGGAAUUCCUGGUGUAGCGGUGGAAUGCGCAGAUAUCAGGAGGAACACCGGUGGCGAAGGCGGUGGUCUGGGCCGGAACUGACGCUGAGGAGCGAAAGCGUGGGGAGCGAACAGG